rnacentral:lncRNA from 1 species
UACUUCUAUUCACACACACACAGCAUGUGUUUCAUAAUGGAUAUUUUUCUUUUGAUAUUUUUUUGCGUAAGAUACCAAUAUAUAUUAUUUUGUUAAAAUGUUAUUUAAAUUAAAUUGGGAUUUUAUUGAAUCUAAUGAUCUUCAUUGUCAACACUAUGUGAUUUGUUUUUAUUAAUUGACACAUUUUAUGUUAAUUAUUAUAGGAGUAAAUCUUGAAUGAUUAGUUUUGUUACACAAUUAAACUUGUAUAACGUUUUUGCUAUACAAGUGAAAAAUAUGUUCAUUUUCGUUUUUCGAUAAUCAUCCUUAUUGAAAAACGAAUCCUUAUCUCAUUUUCUUUUUACUUUGAUUGACAUGUCUUUUUCUUCUGAUUGACGUGUGUUAAACUAUGAUUUUUACAUUAUAUCAUUAAUAUUACCUAAAUAUUGUUACUUUUUUGUAGUAAAUUUUCAUUCUAAAAGUUCAUCCAUUUUUUUGAAUUAUAUAUAAGUAAUUUAUUUCGAAAUUCAAUUAAUAUUCUGCAAUAAUUAUUUCCACUAUAUUUGUUCUAGAUAUUAUAAACAAUUUUUAACAUUUAAAUUAAAUCUUGACCGAGAUUACGAAUUGCAUAACCUGUGUCAGUUUUUCUAAAAUUCAAGAGGAUGAAUAAUACAGAAGUGUAUACUUCUCUAUAUUCUCUAAGUUAGAGCGAUAUUUUAAAAAGUAUUUUCUAUUUUUCUGCAAUAAAAAAAAACAAUUCUUUUUUUUUAAAUCCGAAGCUCAGUAGAUUCUUUGUUACAAUUCCAUAAAAAUCAUGCUAAUUGGUUUAAAUAUUUAAAAGAAAAGCUGUCUUGUUAGUAAGAAGAUUUACUAGCAUUUAAGAUGUUGAGUUCUCCAGUAUAAAAAAAUUAAACUUGCAGAAACUGCAUCAUACAAAUUAUCGCAAAUUAAAUUUAUUUCAUUAUGUUGUGAGGAACUUAUUGUUUGAAUGAAGUAUUAAAAUUCUUCUCUUUAUUUUUAUGUAUUUAAGUGUGUUUCAUUAUUGUCAUGUAGCUUAUUUUAUUAUUUUUCAGAAUGAUUAAAAAUAUUUGACCAAAAGUACAAUAUCAGUGGUAGUAUUGAUUAGAAUAAAAUUUGGAGUAUUCUGCAAUCCAGUGCCUAGGAAAACUUGUUUUUUUUUUGGUGAUGAUGAAGAGCUCAAGAAAAGUAAACCACUUUCAUAAAACUACAAAACCAAUAUGUUUGAGAUUAACGUUAAAUCACAUACAGUCAAUCUGUGACUUCAUCUAUUUCUCAGUACUAAAGUAAUGCAACAACAAAUACAAUACAGGAAGGUUUCUUUACCCAGAAUUCAUUCUGAAGAUCCCCAUGUUUGAUAGACAGAAGAGAAGAAUAGAUAUAACAAUAUAUAGAAGAGAGGAAUAACAUAUUUUCAUUCUUCUCUUAUCAUUCAUUUCAUUCUUCUAAGGAUUUUAAGCAGAAUCCAUUUAAAAAAGGAAAAAUUGGAUUUUUGACAUCACUGUCAAAGACCUUUUUUUAAGAAGAAUGAAGAAUUUUUCUUGAAUAUUUGAUUAUUUACAAGUUAUUGCUGUUAGCAACAGUCGGUCAGUUUCAACUGAUAGAACAAAAUUCUCGUUAAAAUUAUUCGAAUUUAUUUUAAAACUUUUAUAAUACCUGAUGGAAGUGACAGAAAAGUUUGUCUAGUGAGGUAAGAAGUUACAGAAUGGCCAGUUGGAAGCUGUAAAGUUAAAUGUAACCACUAGUACAGAAAUAAGCACCAAAAAGAAACAAAUAAGAAAUCACUUAGAUAUAUGAAACAAAGAUUCUGCAAGAAGCUUCCCUUGUUAGAUGAAAAUGAACCUACAACUCCAACAUAAAGUACUGAAGAAAAAAUUGUAAGAAAAAGAAAUUGAAAAUAAAUUAACAAUAAGAAUUAAGCUAAGCAACAAAGAGCAAUGAAGGAUUUUUAAAUAACCACUACUAAUAGCCAGAGAUCAAAUUUGGACUCAAAGGUUGCAAAAUUUUUCUAUGGCAACAAUAUUGCAUUUAACAUUGCAACUAUUAUUGACAACAAUGAUGAAAUGGAGGACUGGUUAUUCUGGUUUCAGUAGCAGUGAUUUGGAUGGAUAUAUAUAGUUAGUAAUAAUGUGGACAAUAGCAUUAAAAAGCAACUUGAUGCAGGAAAAAAAACUGCCAUCGCUGUUAAAUGCCAUUAUUUUAAAACAAAAAUGUUUAAUCAAUCAUGUAAAUUUUUAUUAAUAAAAUUUAAUUAUGCAAAAACGGUUACCUUUAUCUUAGUUAACUGACAUGGUUAAAUAAGUUAACUUUAACUUGGUUUGAAAUUGAAUAAAUUUUUAUUUUUUACAUUAUUAUUUUGUACAUUAAAAUAAAACUACUAACGAAUUCAUUUUAAUCCAUCCAUUUAUGAA